GAGAUAUGAGCGUAAGGGCUGUGGGUAUUAUCGUUGGCAUGAUCCACCAGUUGAAGGGAGAUCGAAGAGUAUCAUACCGGGUUUGCUCAGGAAGCUAUCAUGUCGAUCUCUUGGAGAUGAUCAAGUGAUUGUCGUGAAUUUGAAAUAGGUGUUGAGAUUGAAGUAUCUAGAUGAGAUGGUCCCUGUUAGUGAUAGAAAAGCAAAGUCGACGUCAAAGCCCAGCAUUUUUGGCGGUUUAUUAUGGAGACAACUCAACCACCUUGGGUAAUUAUUGAUUGAAUUUUGCUUGUGAGGUUUUGAUUCAUACUUCAGUGGAAUUUUUCGUAAUUUUUUUUGAAUUUUUGAUUUCUCGGGAAUGUUGGCUUUGGUCGAGCAACUUUUAGAGUGGAUUAAUAUGAGAAUCUGCUAUAUUAUCAUGCUGAUCCAGCUUCACCACUUGCUUGGAGUAUUGAUCACUAGUUUCGUUGCUCAGCAGCUCUACUGUGCAAAAUACGGAUCUCUGUCACUGCGUCCUUGUUCCAGUUUUGAAGACAUCCUGGAUUGACAAUAACCCGGUAUGAGGUUUUGAAGCUGUCGAAUGUACUUGAGAAAUGAGCGUAAGGGCUGUGGGUAUUAUCGUUGGCAUGAUCCACCAGUUGAAGGGAGAUCGAAGGGUAUAAUACCGGGUUUGCUCAGGAAGCUAUCAUGUCGAUCUCUUGGAGAUUAUCAAGUGAUUGUCGUGAAUUUGAAAUAGGUGUUGAGAUUGAAGUAUCUAGAUGAGAUGGUCCCUGCUAGUGAUUAAAAAGCAAAGUCGACGACAAAGCCCAGCAUUUUUGCCGGUUUAUUAUGGAGACAACUCAACUACCUUGGAUAAUUAUUGAUUGAAUUUUGCUUGUGAGGUUUUGAUUCAUACUUCAGUGGAAUUUUUCAUAAUUUUUUUUGAAUUUUUGAUUUCUCGGGAAUGUUGGCUUUGGUCGAGCAACUUUUAGAGUGGAUUAAUAUGAGAAUCUGCUAUAUUAUCAUGCUGAUCCAGCUUCACCACUUUAUUGGAGUAUUGAUCACUAGUUUCCUUGCUCAGGUAAUAGCCAUCAACUGAACAUACAUAUGUUCAUAUAUCUUAGAAUGUAGAAUAUAGAUAUUGGAUUGUGAUGCUUGUGUAUUGGUGAAAUUGUAAGGGGUAGCUUGACUGUACAAUUCAAUCUAAAGAUAU